rnacentral:rRNA from 1 species
AUUGAACGCUGGCGGCAGGCUUAACACAUGCAAGUCGAGCGAGCGGCGGACUGGUGAGUAAUGUCUGGGCACCUGCCUGAUGUAGGGGGAUAACUACUGGAAACGGUAGCUAAUACCGCAUACCAUCAGAUGUGCCCAGAUGGGAUUAGCGAGUAGGUGGGGUAAUGGCUCACCUAGGCGACGAUCCCUAGCCGGUCUGAGAGGAUGACCAGCCACACUGGAACUGAGACACGGUCCAGACUCCUACGGGAGGCAGCAGUGGGGAAUAGUGCACAAUGGGCGCAAGCCUGAUACAGCCAUGCCGCGUGUGUGAAGAAGGCCUUCGGGUUGUAAAGCACUUUCAGCGAGGAGGCGUUACUCGCAGAAGAAGCACCGGCUAACUCCGUGCCAGCAGCCGCGGUAAUUC